GACUGAUGAGUGGGAUUCCUCCAGCACUCACUCCAUUCCGGGGGCGGAUGCUGCGCACAUUCGUGGCUAAAACGAGAAAUAGCCGCGCAGAUCCAGGCCCAGGAAAGCAGCAAAACCAGACAAGCAACACCACUGUUGACCUCAGGACCAACCGCAUUAGAUAAUGACCCACUGGAGCCUGAUAGGUCCCCGAAGGAGGAAUGCAGGAAGCCAGAAUGCUAGACGCAAGUACAGAGGUUGCUGAACCCAGGUCCAGUAUGACCCCACUCGUCUAGUUCCUGCCACCCAUGACAGAUUAAUGUUCCUCCCUCUCUCUCUCUGUCUAAAAUAAAGUAAUAAAAUAGAUUGUUGGUGCUAAAUGCUAAAAGUAGCAAGUGAAACAUUAGAAAAAGAACAGGAUACUUAAACAGAUUCCAAGUAUGUCCCUCAGAUAUUUGUUGUAGUUUUAAUGUGGCCACAGAAUCUUCGAUACACCUUCCUCCAGGAGGUGAAGCUUGACUCCUUCCACCCCUUGAGUGUGUGGGCUGGAUUUAGUGACUGGCUUCUCAACAACGAUAUGUGGAAAAGGAAAAUAGUAAUUUUUACAGGAGAGAAAUGCAGACACCACCUUAACCAAGUGGUCGAGGUUAACACCAUCAGUAAUAAGUAAUAAGUCCUUUUGAUAUCAUUUACCCCCUCAUAUGAUGCAAAGUCACUUCAUCUCUGUGGAAUUUCCCCCCUUAAAUCAUUCCCCCAGUCUAAUCAAAAGAAAACAUCUCCCAAAUCCAAAUGGAGAGAUAUUCCAGAAAGUACUUGAGCCGUGUGGACCAAAAAGGGGCCACAUAGCCCAGCCUGUGUUGCUCA